ACAAAAAUACUAAUGUAUGAUCAAGAUCAUUUUGAAAAUGACAGGCAAGUCGUAGAUUCCUUUGCAUUAUCUAUCAAUUAUUUAUAAACAUGUUUGUAGCACAGAAAGAUAGGAUUCCGGGUGUUCACCUUGUGUCGUUCCUAGCCGCCUCGACAUAUGCACAGGGGGGACCACCAAGGACCUGAAGCUUGCCAGUUGUCGGGUUGCUUGACGGCCCAUCACCCAUGACAGGAAGUAAAUGGACCUGCCGAAUAUCUACUCUCUCCAAAUGUCGCUUGGCGGCAAUAAUCUCCUUUCUGGACCUUGGCCUCUGAAGGUCCCGAUUUGCCUCUAUUAGAUUGGAAAGAGACACCUCGUAUGACCCUGCAUAAAAAAAUUAUUAUUUUGGUUUACAACAGCAUGUUAGGCUCCAUAUAUAACUGAAUAUCUGGGAUAUUGAGAAAUAAAAGGGUGCAGUCAAGUCUUUACAUCCAUAAAAUUCCUAUUUAAUUUGCUCUUCUUUGUAAAGUUUAAUUUCUAUAAGCUCUACAAUAACAUUGGUUAGCAAUCGGAUCUGAUUAAUCGAUAUAGCAAAGAGAUGUACUAGGAACACAUUCAAUCUCAUGAACUACCAAGGUAUGCAAAAUUUGCAUAAGGUCAGGUUACCAUGACAUUCAUUGAAAUAUAAAUUUAAAAAAAAUUGAGGUAAAAAUUGUUUGAAGGAGAGAGUUCACAAACCUUUACACUUUGCCGAGAUGGCCUUAUCUAAAUCUCCAAGUGAUGGUAGCGGUAUCUGUUGGUCUGAGUCGUCAGAGCUAGUUGACAACCUACUGCAUGUUCGUUGACCUGUGUACAUUGCAGGGAUUGAAAACUAAAUAUUCCGUUCUCUGAGCAAGAUAUACAAGUAGACAAUUAAAAAAGAAUGUUGAGGUAUGCAUAAUAGUUAACAACAUAAUAUUAAAGGGGAGUGUAUCAUGGUCUAGUGCUUUUGUAAAUUGACUAGCGUUCAAAGGAGGGAAAAAUGUCUUAGAUUACAUUGAAGGCAGACUCAAAAUGAUUGAUCUGGAGAAGUUAAUACAAAGGUUCAGAUUGAGGUGGCUACCGGGUAGGUAGAUUAUUUAGAUGACAAGAAUGGUUAUCCCAAAGAUAUUGCUGUGUACACUAAGCUUGGAGGACUGAAAUUGCUUUAGAACUGCUCUAUUAGGUUGAAAAUGAUGAACAAUUACUUUGUUCAUAAAAUUCCUCCUUUUACAUUGAAAUUCUGAAAGCCUGCAUGGUCACUUUAUUCUUGGCGGAAGUUUGCCAUCUUUCUUGAUGCCAAAGAUUUGGGUUUGGAGAUACAAAAAGAAGUUAUCGGCUGGCACAGGGUAUUCCAGGUUAAAGACAUGAUAGCUCUUGAAUAGUAUGUCGAAAGCGUUGGUGAUGUUGCCAGCUGGGAGAGGAGAUGCAUAAUCCUCUACUUGAAGGAAGAUCUGUUCUAUGUUGCUCUUUGCUCCAAACAAGAAAAGGGAGGGCUGACUGGUAUUGGUGUCCUUCAUACAUUCUGAAAAAGGCUUGUCUACGUGUUCAUAGUAGUGAGUAAUAAGAAGUAAAACAAAUCAUGACCUUAUUGCUUCACGAAGCAAUCAUCUCCUUUAGGAGCACAAGGUUUUUUCCUCCUCUUGUGGGUGGGUCUCCUAACUUUUCUCUUCACCUUCCUCCGCACAUAGCGGCUCCUGGCUCCCUGAAGCUUCACUGAACUCUGAGUGUGCGCUUUUUCCCAUCCUAUCUCCUUAUAGGGUAUGAGGAUAGCUGUCCAGUAGUGCGGGAUAUACCGAUUAGGUUGCAGCUGUGGAGGCUCCUCUGCCCUACACAGACAUCUUGGCAGCCUGAAACCAUCCAGAAACAGGAUGUCCUGUUUCGGCCUCCAUUUUUUACUUUGUCUUUGGCGUGGUGCACCUUUUUUUUCUUCUUCGAUAAAUAUAAAUAUAAAUGUCAAGAUUUGUCUCUUUCCAUGGGUUGCACUGUUUUUUCACCUUCCUUGGUGUCCACAACCUCUGCAGCUCAACUGGUUGUUUUGUUUUGUGUAUUUUUGGUUUAAAAGAACCUGCAACCAGUCUAAAUACAAACUCUUCAAAGUGGUCCGAUAAAACCUUCGCACCUUCUCUAUUUACAUGUAUAUGCAGUCCAUCUCUAGAAUAGAGACUAUCGUCACAAUUAAAGUCAGCGUUAUUUUCAAAAUAAUAACAAUUGUUGUUUUUCAAACAAAAGUGCUCUAAAUCAUAGUUAUAUACAACACUUAGAUUGUCCAGUUCCUCACUGUCCCAUCGAGGCAGAAUGGAAGAAAAAUAAUAUCACAGCUUCUAAAGUGAAAAAUAACCCUUGAUGUCUUUAGACCAAAAACUCUUGGCUAAAUAAAAAGUACAAAGUUGAUAGUAUGAUUAAUUAUAUCUCCAAAAGUUGUAAUAAUAUUCUGACGCAGCAAUUGAACGGUAGCCCCUGGGCCGGGGGCAAAAAACCGGUCCCGUGACAUGAUGCUCUUGAUGCCAAGAUUAAGCAGUGCGUUUGUACUCCACACUAGGUUGUAAGCCGGCAAGCGGACAAGGCCGAUGUACAUGAAGAUUCCUAAAAAAACGGCCCUCAUCUCUGCUGGAUCAGUUGGAAUCCAGAUCCUUGCCCUUGACCGAGGAGGCAAGUUUUCUUUCCCUCCUACUCUCCUGAAAUACUGGUCAGCAUAACGAUUAAUCUCCACCACUAUUCUAUCAAUUAUCUCUGCUGACAAGAAGUCCGAAAAAACUUCACUGGGUGUGACUUCAUCAAGAGGUCCAACACGAUGACCAAAUGCACGACACCACUAAAAAGACUAGUGACACAAAUCAAGAUUGAAAGAAUUCUGUCCAGAAAUGUGACUGCUACAUCUGCUGCUCAAUCCAAAGGUAGCUUUUGCAUUGAUAACUAUGGAUUGUACUGAUGGAAAGCAAAUUAACCCAUUGGCUACAGGAACCAGGUGGUCCCUGUGUUAAACCUAUGAUAGUCAGAGCCAUCAGUAGCCAAUGGGUAACAAAUUUUAUGUCCAGAUUGAUGCCAACUAUUACUUCAAUUGGAUUAGUCCUCUAUAUUUACCUUUUUGAACACGUCGAGUUCCACUAGAAGAGCACGGAGUCCAAGGAGACACUGAUUCUUGUUCUCCCUACCACAGUUAUCCAUUUGAAGGUAUAAUGUAUCUGGUAGCGUGGUAGAAUAUUUAUGAAGAACCUGGAGAAGGAUCGUUGCCGUAAGGUUCGAAUCAUGUGGGUAUUCUUUGCUGUCAAGGAACAUGUGUUGUCCCCUCCCAUGUACUAUUGUUCCGGUGAUGUGUGAUGGAAGUCUCCAUGCUGAUGAAACUGAUUUGGACGUUCUGUAAAAUUUGGGUAUACUUGUGGAUUUCUGGUCCAUUUCGUCAAUAAUGAUGCUGAUAUACUUGUCUGGAUGUUGUCUUGCUUUUUGCGCAUGUUUGUAGUACUUCCUUCUUUCAGUUCUGUAUAAAUGAUACAAAAAUUAAAAAAUGUAACUAAAUAUGACAUGGAUGAAAAGACAUAUUUUCCAGGAAUAUGAUUUUACAUAUACUAAAUGGUAAAGAACAUUGGACAAUGCAGUAAAUGAAAGCUUUAAUGACAUUUUGAUACAUGUAUAUAACAUGAUCAUACAUGUAAACGAGAGUGUAAAGGAGAUUUGAAAGUAUUAGGGGUUAUAAAACUAUUAAUACUGCUACAAUGUACUUCUUCCACAACUCUGUUUUCCUGAUGAGAACUUGGCUUGACCAUCACACAAACUAAUGCAGAAGAGGAAU
rnacentral:lncRNA from 1 species